rnacentral:lncRNA from 1 species
AAAACUAAAACUAGUAUCUCAAUUGUUUGUAAAACAAUUGAAAGGUCUUUCCUGUAAAAGUGAUGUUUUCGUAUUGUACUUUGUACGACCGUUCGUUUGAUAUACCACAAGCAUACCUUCUGAAACUUUUCGCUUUUUACACUUAAUGACCUCAUCGGCCUACAUUUUUGAGAUCGGAAUUAUGAUAUAUGGAACAGAGUAGAUGAGCUUUCAUUUGAUAUGCGACAACACCAUGUUCUAGAAAGUUUGAUUUUUGCACUUAAUUACCCUAUCCAACUAUUUUUUGGAGGUCGGGAAUUUGAUAUUUCAAAUGUACACAUCAUGACCUUUCAUUUGAUAUACAACAACCCUACCUUAAAAGAACAUUUAUUUUUUGCACUCAAUGACCCCCUCCAACCCAUUUUUGGGAGACGUCAAUUUGAAAUUUGAAAUGUACGCUUUAUGUUCUUUCAUUUGAUAUGCGACAACCUUACCAUCUGAGAAAUUUUAAUGUUUGCACUAAAUGACCCCUCCCGUCCCCCUGGGAUGAAAAGGGGGUUUAAAAUUUUCAUUUUUAAGUAGAGUUUAUUAAGACCUUCAAUUUGAUAUAUCAGAUGACCCCCAUUUGACAAAGUGCAAAUAAUGAUGCAAUAUCAACUAUAUAAAUAGAAGUUAUGAAACUUACAAAGUCAAUGCAAAACUUGAAAAUUUCAAAUUGAUUUUUUUGGUGUUUUUUUCCAUGGAAUGUUUUUGGUAUUUGGUCAAACAUAUAACUUUGUCAACCUCUUCAAUUUCUAAAACAUUUUUAGUGGUAAGCUCUUGAUGAUUCAGAAAUACAUGCCUCCGCUCGCAAAACUUCAAACUGCAUUAUCUCUUAAACGACAA